rnacentral:rRNA from 1 species
UUAAAUUGAAGAGUUUGAUCAUGGCUCAGAUUGAACGCUGGCGGCAGGCCUAACACAUGCAAGUCGAACGGUAACAGGAAGAAGCUUGCUUCUUUGCUGACGAGUGGCGGACGGGUGAGUAAUGUCUGGGAAACUGCCUGAUGGAGGGGGAUAACUACUGGAAACGGUAGCUAAUACCGCAUAACGUCGCAAGAC